UCGUCUUACUUGGUCAGCGGACAGCCGCUUUCCUUCGCGGUUGGGAACGCCUUGUCGCCCGGCACCACCGCCAGCUCCUUGUAGUAGUCCCAGGGCUUCUUCGACUCGGACGGCUUCUUGACCUCGAACAGGUAGAGGUCGUGAACCAUACGGCCGUUUUCGAGCACCUUGCCGCCCUGCGCAAAGUCGUCAUCGACCGGCAGUUCCUUCAGCUUCUUGGCCACCGCUUCGGUGUCCUUGGUGCCCGCCGCCUUGA
rnacentral:misc_RNA from 1 species